rnacentral:rRNA from 1 species
UGGGGAAUCUUCCGCAAUGGACGAAAGUCUGACGGAGCAACGCCGCGUGAGUGAUGACGGUCUUCGGAUUGUAAAGCUCUGUUAAUCGGGACGAAUGGUUUGUGUGCAAAUAGUGCAUAGACAUGACGGUACCGGAAUAGAAAGCCACGGCUAACUACGUGCCAGCAGCCGCGGUAAUACGUAGGUGGCAAGCGUUGUCCGGAAUUAUUGGGCGUAAAGCGCGCGCAGGCGGACUAGCCAGUCAGUCUUAAAAGUUCGGGGCUUAACCCCGUGAUGGGAUUGAAACUACUAGUCUAGAGUAUCGGAGAGGAAAGUGGAAUUCCUAGUGUAGCGGUGAGAUGCGUAGAUAUUAGGAAGAACACCAGUGGCGAAGGCGACUUUCUGGACGAACACUGACGCUGAGGCGCGAAAGCCAGGGGAGCGAACGGG